rnacentral:rRNA from 1 species
CGAGAAAGCCCGCAAGGGUGAGUAAAGCGGCGCACGGGUGCGUAACACGUGGGUAAUCUGCCCUGAAGUCCGGAAUAACUCGCCGAAAGGCGUGCUAAUGCCGGAUGAGACCACGGGAGCCUCGGCUCCUGCGGGAAAAGGUGGCCUCUGUAUACAAGCUAUCGCUUCAGGAUGAGCCCGCGGCCCAUCAGCUAGUUGGCGGGGUAAUGGCCCACCAAGGCUACGACGGGUAGCUGGUCUGAGAGGACGAUCAGCCACACUGGAACUGAGACACGGUCCAGACUCCUACGGGAGGCAGCAGUGGGGAAUCUUGCGCAAUGGGCGAAAGCCUGACGCAGCAACGCCGCGUGUGUGAUGAAGGUCUUCGGAUCGUAAAGCACUGUCGCGAGGGACG